ensembl:lncRNA
UUUUUUUUUUUUUCCAUGACUAAAUAAAGCAAGCCAGGGAGUAUUUUCUGAGGCAGGGGGACGUUGACAGACCUUCAGCCAAGAGUGAGGUGGGUAAAAAAUUUUGAGAGAGAGGAACACUAGUAAAUAAAAGAAUUAUGAUUUUUGCAGUAACUCAAGCAAAAUAAGACAUCUGGGCAAAAAGAAGAAAUUGAUUUCAAUAAAGGUAACCAUAUAAAGCAGUUCCCACGGUGGCUCGGCAGUUUAUGCACCCAACUAGGAUCCACGAGGAUGUGGGUUCAAUCCCUGGCCUCGCUCAGUGGGUUAAGGAUCCAGCAUUGUGGUGAGCUGUGGUAUAGCUCGCAGAUUCGGAUGGGAUCUGGCAUUGCUGUGGCUGAUAGCUGUAGCUACAAUAGGACCCCAAGCCUCAGAACCUCUAUGUGCUGUGGGUGUGGCCCUAAAAAGCAAAAAAUUAAAAAAUUUUUUUAAAAAGGUAACCAUAUAAAACUAAAGCAUAAGUAACAGUGACCAAGACAGGAAGUUAAAUUUUAGGUGUCCGACGAUGUUGAAAUGGUUUGGAGAAUGUGCAUCAAAGGAUACAAUGGAUUCCUACGUAAUCUUGGCUUUAAAAGGGUACAGCUCACAGCUCACACAAUUGGUCUCAUUUCUUUAUAAAAACAGCUGUGAUCACUUAGAUAGUACAACUGAUUCCACUUCAACAAAUGCUUUUUUUUAAUGCCCAUACCUGCAACUUAUGGAAGUUCUGGGCCAUGGCCUGAGUCUGAGCCACAGCUAUGGCAAUAAGGGACCCUUUAACGCCCUGUGUAGGGCCGGAAUCAAACCCACACCUCUGCUGUGACACGAGAAACUGCAGUGGGAUUCUUAACUGUGCCACAGGGGGAACUCCAACAAACGUUUCUUUUUUUUUGUCUUUUUGCCUUUUCUAGGGCCACUCCUGCAGCAUAUGGAGGUUCCCAGGCUGGGGGUCCCAUCGGAGCUGUAGCCACCGGGCUAUGCCAGAGCCACAGCCACGCAGGAUCCGANNNNNNNNNNNUACACGACAGCUCACGGCAACACCGGAUCCUUAACCCACUAAGCAAGGGCAGGGAUCGAACCCACAACCUCAUGGUUCCUCGUCAGAUUCAUUAACCACUGCACCACGACGGGAACUCCAAACAUUUCUUGAAUACAUCUGUCACAUAUAAAACUCAGGAAGUGCUCUAGAGAGAUAUAUAAACCCAAGUCCAAGAUGUGUUUUAAAUAACUUGGACCAUCGUUUAUUUUCAAAAGUUUGUGCAGUGAAUGUUGAAAUAAGUAUUAGGUUCAACCCUAUUAAUUUGAUAUGUUUUGUAGCUCGAAAAUAGUUGAAUAAUGGUAAUUUCAUAUGGUUCAGCCUGAUAUAUGAUACCUAUCAUUGAAAACUAAUGAAAUAACUGUGAAAUAGAUGUCUAGGCAAAUGUCUCUAGGAGUAGAGAAAUUAAAAUGCAAAAAAAAAAAAAAAAAAAGAGAGAGAGAGAGAGAAUUCGCUCACUUUUUGGGGGAGGGGCUGCUGAGUCUGCAGCAUGCAGAAGUUCCCCGGGCCAGGGGUUAACCUCAAGCCAUAGCAGGGACAAUGCUGGAUCCUUAACUGCUAGGCCACCAGGAAACUCCAAAAGAAUUCAUUCACUUUUGACUCUGGAAAGCAGGGCAGCUUCUCGAAAUGGCACAUGAACUAGGAAUCAGGUUUUGAGAGUUGGAACAGUUAGAAGAGGGUAUAUAGUGGGGAGGAAGGAGCAGAUGGGGAUUUUAGACUGAGGAAAAGCAAGAACAUAAUAAGCACAGGAUCAUAAAGUGUAACAGAAUCAUUCAAAUGGCAAAAUCAUGCAUUUUAAUGUCAGAGAACAAGGAUGGAAGGUUCACCAUUAAAAAACAAUUCGUACGCAAUUCACUUGAUGAAUCUGACCUUAUGUCUCAUAAGCCAAUAAAAAUCCAGACUUAUGAAACAGAUACAGAGAUUUUCGGUUAAACAAUAAAAGGAAAAUGAAAUGAGCAUCAAAUCAACCACUCCCUGUAAAUGGGCUACGAACAUCCUCAAGUCCUAGAAGUCUCAACGUAAUAGACGAAAGCUCCUUGCUCUGCUUCGGAUGCAUCAAAACCAUGCAUCAGAUAACACUGUUCUGCUCAGUGAUGGGCAACAGAUUUCCCCUUGAUGCCUCUGCCUCAAACAUGAGGACUUUAGAGAGCCACUGGAUUUAAAGGUCAAGUUCUUCCCCCUACUCCACUUACAAGUCACUACAAGUGAACAUUAUACAUUUACCAUUGGUACUGGCAACACUUAAUAAGGUUAUUGAGUGCUUUGUGGGAACACAGGCUUUUGCAUGGUUAUGAGAAUGGUAAUGAAAUCUAAUCUACUGCCCCAUUACACACAUUAUUCUUAGCCACAAUAACAGUGUUCCGUUUAAGCUUUAGGACUGUAUUUAAAUAGAUGGUUUAGGAAACAAUAAAGCCUAAAAGAAUACUGUAGGUGUAUUCCAAAUUUAGAGCGAGCAGGAAACAUCAGGAGAAUUUUUAUCAACUCCAUCAAACAAUCCACAACACUCUGAGCCAACAACACAAAGAGGCCAAGAAAACAGGGGACGGGAGCCUUUUCUCUCCUUAUUGGAGAGUCAGAGAGCUAAUAAAAAUAUUAAUCAAAAGACAUAUAAAAAGACUUUUAAUUAUAGUUUGGCAGGAAGUUGUUUUUUGGUUUUUUUUAAGGAAACAUUUAAUGUAUGCUAGUUAUACUGCAUAAACACCGGACCCAAGGGAUCCACUACAUAUCAUGACUCAUUAAAGUAAUAAGACACAAGGGAUCCACCACGUAUGAUAACUCAUUAAAGGAACAAGAUGCAAGGGGUUCACCACAUAUCAUGACUCCUUAAAGGAGCAAGACCCAAGGCGUCCACCACACACCGUGACUCGUUUAUUUUAAGGGAGCAAGAAAAGAAGAAUGGGAAUGAGGUACACACCCAGAGAAAGACAUAAAACACCAAAGAAGAAGAAAUAAGAGGAAAGCACCUACAAUCAAACACACAUGAACACAGAAUGGCAUUCAAAUUUCAUGAUCUCGCCAAACAUUUUUACUGAGGAUUAUAAAUAUGUUUUAUUUUAAGGAACACAUACAUCAUCUGCCCCAAGGGGCAUGUGAAAUUCUGCUGAGAGAUGAAUAUAGUGCAGUUGCUCUCCCAACUAAAGCCCAUGACAACAUUAGAGCCCCUACAAGAAGGACAGAACUCGUAUUUUUGCAAAAAUGAAUAUUCCUCUUAUUAAAAUGCUUGGAAGUUAUCAAAAUGUUAAAAGUUAAUUGCUGCUUGGAGUUCCUGCUGUGACGCAGCAGAAACAAAUCCGACUAGGAACCAUGAGGUUGUGAAUUCAAUCCCUGGCCUCGCUCAGAGGGUUAAGGAUCCGGUGUUGCCAUGAGCUAUGAGGUAGGUCCCAGAUGAGGCUUGGAUCUGGUGUUGCUGUGGCCGUGGUGUAGGCCGGCGGCUACAGCUCCAAUUAAACUCCUAGCCUGGGAACCUCCAUAUGUCGCGGCUACUGCCCUAUAAAGAAAAAAAAAAAAAAAAAAGUAAUUGCUGCUUGUCCUCAUGAGAAUGAUACAAUACUUGUUGACAGAGGUCUAGGAGGUGACUUUAAUUUGUGAAAUGCUACCACAUAUUUCCACCAUCCUAACUCCACUUAGAGUUUUAGGUUUAGAGAAUGAAAUGGAAAUUGUUUAUAAGAUCCUCCUAAAAUAUUACGUCAAGGUGGAUUCUUUUUUCUGGUCUGAGAGUUGGGACUGGUUGUGGUUUCUCACGUUAGAAGGAGUAGGAGAUGCAGGAUGAACAUCUUCCCAGAACUCAGUAUAAAUUCAAACUUGGCAAUGAGGAGGCCCUGAGGGCACAUGAUUGUCUGCAUGUUCUCUACAAACUGGUUCCCCUUCCCAGGUUGCUACUGUGGGGCCUGUAACACCUGAGUCCUGGGAGUCUUUCAAGUACUCAGGCAGUCAGCUUCCCAGAUGUUAAAAUGGUACAGGGCCCUGUCACUGCUUUUUAGGUGGAGUGAGAAGAUGCUGGCACCAAGAAGGGCUGGCACCACUUAAAGACAUUAAACAGCACGAGUGGCAGGAGCACUAGGGCCCAGACAGGAACAAGGGCUACCGGGACCAGCACUCUCCAAAGACCAAGGCCUGACUGCUUCUGUAUCACUGGUUAACAUAAACAAAGCUUUCCAUAUGAACCACAUUCAUGUGGCGGGGGAAGCAACUAACUCCACCAGUCAAGGGCCAGAAAGUAAGUAUUUUUGGCUGUGUGGGCCAAAGAGUCCAAAGCAGCCACAAACAGUGAUUCACCAGGGUGGCUAUGUGGCAGUAACACUUUCUUCGUAAAAAUAAAGGCUGAGGCUGAGGGUUUGGUGUGCACUUCAUGACUCUCCCACGAUAUUUUUCUGGUAACAUUCUUACAUCCCUGUUUUGGGGGACUGUGAGUCCCAGCAGCUUCUGUAUCGUUUGGGUGCAAUGAUAACCCCGCCACCCACAGCAUUUCUUGAGCACCUGCUGUAGACCAGGCACAGCACUAAUUAGUUUCCACAGAGUUCACAGGAUCCUCAACACCUCCAGGUACCAUCAUCCCUAUUUCCAGAUACAAAUAUCUCAGCAGCUUUAAAUGGUGGAGUGACGAAUCCAAGAUCUCUGAGACUCUGACCUUUAGCAGCCAUCCACUGGCUUCUAACUGCGGAGCUCGCCACAAACAACAGGGAGCUGGUAAAAAUGGCAAUGGCUGGACCCACCUUUAAAGGUUCGGAUUUAGUCCUGUGGGGUUAGGUCCAGGACUCUGCAUUUUAACACAUACUUCUGAAAAGUCUGGUGCAAAAGGUUAGAGGAAUAAAUAUGGAGAAAUACAGCAAUCUCAUGCAUUUUCC